UGGAGGAAGUUGAUCCUGGCUCAGGACGAACGCUGGCGGCGUGCUUAACACAUGCAAGUCGAACGCCGAACCGCCUUCGGGCGGGGAGGAGUGGCGAACGGGUGAGUAACACGUGGGCAAUCUGCCCUGCACUCUGGGAUAACUCCGGGAAACCGGAGCUAAUACCGGAUACGACCUUCCAGGGCAUCCUGGGGGGUGGAAAGCUCCGGCGGUGCAGGAUGAGCCCGCGGCCUAUCAGCUGGUUGGUGGGGUGACGGCCCACCAAGGCGACGACGGGUAGCCGGCCUGAGAGGGCGACCGGCCACACUGGGACUGAGACACGGCCCAGACUCCUACGGGAGGCAGCAGUGGGGAAUAUUGCACAAUGGGCGCAAGCCUGAUGCAGCGACGCCGCGUGAGGGAUGACGGCCUUCGGGUUGUAAACCUCUUUCAGCAGGGAAGAAGCGCAAGUGACGGUACCUGCAGAAGAAGCACCGGCUAACUACGUGCCAGCAGCCGCGUUUAAUA
rnacentral:rRNA from 1 species